rnacentral:snoRNA from 1 species
CUCGGAUGAUGACCAAGACAAUUUUUAUACAGUUAUCCCUAUCUCAAUCAUUAUGUGUGGAUAUGGUUCUAAUUUCUGACCCCG